GGACAUGUCUACAAAUGCUGGGUGAUGAAGGUUCCAAACAGGAAGUGAGGGUUGCAGUGGAGACGCUUCUGAAGCUGAGCAGGAAUCUGAGCAGCCACCCGGGUGAUGAAAAGUACCGAAA